rnacentral:rRNA from 1 species
UCGGGAAUUUUGCACAAUGGCCGAAAGGCUGAUGCAGCAACGCCGCGUGAGCGAAGAAGGCCUUCGGGUUGUAAAGCUCUGUUGCCUGCGAAGAAGUGCCGUUCGAAUAGGGCGGCACGGUGACGGUACCUAACGAGAAAGCCCCGGCUAACUACGUGCCAGCAGCCGCGGUAAAACGUAGGGGGCAAGCGUUGUCCGGAAUUACUGGGCGUAAAGCGCGCGCAGGCGGUCCUUUAAGUCUGAUGUGAAAUUCCGCGGCUCAACCGCGGGUGUGCAUUGGAAACUGGGGGACUUGAGUGCGGAAGAGGGGAGCGGAAUUCCCGGUGUAGCGGUGAAAUGCGUAGAGAUCGGGAGGAACACCAGUGGCGAAGGCGGCUCUCUGGUCCGCAACUGACGCUGAGGCGCGAAAGCGUGGGGAGCGAACAGG